AACGAACGCUGGCGGCAUGCCUAACACAUGCAAGUCGAACGAGACCUUCGGGUCUAGUGGCGCACGGGUGCGUAACGCGUGGGAACCUGCCCUUAGGUUCGGAAUAACUCCCCGAAAGGGGUGCUAAUACCGGAUAAUGUCUUCGGACCAAAGAUUUAUCGCCUUUGGAUGGGCCCGCGUUGGAUUAGCUAGUUGGUAGGGUAAAAGCCUACCAAGGCGACGAUCCAUAGCUGGUCUGAGAGGAUGAUCAGCCACACUUGGACUGCGGCACGGCCCAGACCCCGACGGGAGGGAGCAGUAGGGAAUACUGGACAAUGGGCGAAAGUCUGGUCCAGCAAUGCCGCGGGAGUGGUGAAUGCCUUAGGGUUGUAAAGCUCUUUUACCCGGGAUGAGAAUGACAGUACCGGGAGAAUAAGCUCCGGCUAACUCCGUG
rnacentral:rRNA from 1 species